rnacentral:rRNA from 1 species
UACGUAGGGGGCUAGCGUUGUCCGGAUUUAUUGGGCGUAAAGAGCUCGUAGGCGGUUUGUCGCGUCGGCCGUGAAAUCUCCACGCUUAACGUGGAGCGUGCGGUCGAUACGGGCAGACUUGAGUUCGGUAGGGGAGACUGGAAUUCCUGGUGUAGCGGUGAAAUGCGCAGAUAUCAGGAGGAACACCGGUGGCGAAGGCGGGUCUCUGGGCCGAUACUGACGCUGAGGAGCGAAAGCGUGGGGAGCAAACAGG